rnacentral:rRNA from 1 species
GCGAACGGGUGAGUAAUACGUGAGCAAUGUGCCCUUGACUCUGGGAUAAGCGCUGGAAACGGCGUCUAAUACCGGAUACGACCCUCGGAGGCAUCUCCUGUGGGUGGAAAGAACUUCGGUCAAGGAUCAGCUCACGGCCUAUCAGCUUGUUGGUGAGGUAAUGGCUCACCAAGGCGACGACGGGUAGCCGGCCUGAGAGGGUGACCGGCCACACUGGGACUGAGACACGGCCCAGACUCCUACGGGAGGCAGCAGUGGGGAAUAUUGCACAAUGGGCGCAAGCCUGAUGCAGCAACGCCGCGUGAGGGACGAAGGCCUUCGGGUUGUAAACCUCUUUUAGCAGGGAAGAAGCGAAAGUGACGGUACCUGCAGAAAAAGCACCGGCUAACUACGUGCCAGCAGCCGCGGUAAUACGUAGGGUGCAAGCGUUGUCCGGAAUUAUUGGGCGUAAAGAGCUCGUAGGCGGUUUGUCGCGUCUGCUGUGAAAACCCGAGGCUCAACCUCGGGCUUGCAGUGGGUACGGGCAGACUAGAGUGCGGUAGGGGAGAUUGGAAUUCCUGGUGUAGCGGUGGAAUGCGCAGAUAUCAGGAGGAACACCGAUGGCGAAGGCAGAUCUCUGGGCCGUAACUGACGCUGAGGAGCGAAAGCAUGGGGAGCAAACAGGCUUAGAUACCCUGGUAGUCCAUGCCGUAAACGUUGGGAACUAGAUGUGGGGACCAUUCCACGGUCUCCGUGUCGUAGCUAACG